UACGUAGGGGGCAAGCGUUGUCCGGAAUCAUUGGGCGUAAAGAGCGUGUAGGCGGCCCGGUAAGUCCGCUGUGAAAGUCCAGGGCUCAACCCUGGGAUGCCGGUGGAUACUGUCGGGCUUGAGUACGGAAGAGGCGAGUGGAAUUCCUGGUGUAGCGGUGAAAUGCGCAGAUAUCAGGAAGAACACCCGUGGCGAAGGCGGUUCUCUGGGACGGUACUGACGCUGAGACGCGAAAGCAUGGGGAGCGAACAGG
rnacentral:rRNA from 1 species